GAAGGUAGCCUCUCCUAAGAACGAGGGGAACAGCAAAACUCUCCACCAGUCCCGUGGCUUCUGACCAGAAGUCCUCUGAGAAGUUUAUACUGAUGCCUGGUGGCCUGUGGGCUGCAUCAAAACAGAGUCCUUACUGCAAGAAUUAAUGGCCUUUAGGUAUCUACCUGGCAAGGCCAGGACCAAGACUCCAUGGAAGCCCAUAUAACUUGUGACUGAACACAGACAAAUGGAAUUUGAGUAAAUCUUUUCCACUCCAAACCUGCUGCCAGCGAAGCUCCUCCAUUGCUGGCUCCAGCUUCACCAGCUGGCUGUGGAACUUGGCCUUCCAUGGCCACAGUGGCAGGAUGAGAGAAAAAAACUUGUGGGCUUGGAGAGACGGCUCAUCCAACGAGAGGCCUUCCUGCUCUUGCCAAUGACUAGAGUUCCAUUCCAAGAACCCACAUCAUGUGGCUCACAGCUGCCUGUCACUCCAGCUCCAGGACAGCAAAUGCUCUCUUCUGACUGCUAGAGGCACCUGUACAACUGAGAGACAUAUAAAAAAGGCUGAAAUAAACCUAAAAGAACAACAACAACAAAACAGCAUCUUACAAUAAGGAAAUAAGACCAACACCUUAAAAUUCUUCAUCAGCCUUAGUUGAUAGAGAACCUUUUAACAGUGUAACCCUGAGAGCCCACAGAUCACGUCUACAACUGUUGGUUCUUGUCCUAAUACCUGUAUUUGACUUUGCUCAAGUUUUUUUGUCCUUCUACUUAAUCAAUAAACUUGAAGCAUUGCUUGAA